rnacentral:rRNA from 1 species
GAUGAACGCUGGCGGCGUGCCUAAUACAUGCAAGUCGAGCGAAUGGAUUAAGAGCUUGCUCUUAUGAAGUUAGCGGCGGACGGGUGAGUAACACGUGGGUGACCUGCCCAUAAGACUGGGAUAACUCCGGGAAACCGGGGCUAAUACCGGAUAACAUUUUGAACCGCAUGGUUCGAAAUUGAAAGGCGGCUUCGGCUGUCACUUAUGGAUGGACCCGCGUCGCAUUAGCUAGUUGGUGAGGUAACGGCUCACCAAGGCAACGAUGCGUAGCCGACCUGAGAGGGUGGUCGGCCACACUGGGACUGAGACACGGCCCAGACUCCUACGGGAGGCAGCAGUAGGGAAUCUUCCGCAAUGGACGAAAGUCUGACGGAGCAACGCCGCGUGAGUGAUGAAGGCUUUCGGGUCGUAAAACUCUGUUGUUAGGGAAGAACAAGUGCUAGUUGAAUAAGCUGACACCUUGACGGUACCUAACCAGAAAGCCACGGCUAACUACGUGCCAGCCGCCGCAGUAA